rnacentral:ncRNA from 1 species
UUAAUGGCUAUGAACAGGAGUAGUAACCGGCCAGGAACCUUACAGGGAGGCUGCACCGGCGACUGGAAGUGCGGCCAGGGAAAGGCCGGCGAAUUCGCCUGGGAGCCGGGGGCUGAACUGGCAGUAGGCCAACCUCGGGGGCCCACCGUUAUCGGGCUAGAGAGAGCAGCGGCACGAGCUGCUAAGUAGGGUGGUACCGCGGAAAUACAUCCGUCCCUUAG